rnacentral:rRNA from 1 species
UACGGGGGGGGGCAAGCGUUGUUCGGAAUUACUGGGCGUAAAGGGCUCGUAGGCGGCCAACUAAGUCGGAUGUGAAAUCCCCAGGCUUAACCUGGGGAACUGCAUCCGAUACUGGAUGGCUUGAAUUCGGGAGAGGGAUGCAGAAUUCCAGGUGUAGCGGUGAAAUGCGUAGAUAUCUGGAGGAAUACCGGUGGCGAAGGCGGCAUCCUGGACCGACAUUGACGCUGAGGAGCGAAAGCUAGGGGAGCAAACGGGG